rnacentral:rRNA from 1 species
UACGAAGGGAGCUAGCGUUGUUCGGAAUCACUGGGCGUAAAAGCGCACGUAGGCGGAUGUGUCAGUCAGGGGGUGAAAUCCCGGAGCUCAACUUCGGAACUGCCUUUGAUACAGCACGUCUUGAGUCCGAUAGAGGUGGGUGGAAUUCCUAGUGUAGAGGUGAAAUUCGUAGAUAUUAGGAAGAACACCGGUGGCGAAGGCGGCCCACUGGAUCGGUACUGACGCUGAGGUGCGAAAGCGUGGGGAGCAAACAGG